GAUGAACGCUGGCGGCGUGCCUAAUACAUGCAAGUCGAGCGAACGGACGAGAAGCUUGCUUCUCUGAUGUUAGCGGCGGACGGGUGAGUAACACGUGGAUAACCUACCUAUAAGACUGGGAUAACUUCGGGAAACCGGAGCUAAUACCGGAUAAUAUUUUGAACCGCAUGGUUCAAAAGUGAAAGACGGUCUUGCUGUCACUUAUAGAUGGAUCCGCGCUGCAUUAGCUAGUUGGUAAGGUAACGGCUUACCAAGGCAACGAUGCAUAGCCGACCUGAGAGGGUGAUCGGCCACCCUGGAACUGAGACACGGUCCAGACUCCUACGGGAGGCAGCAGUAGGGAAUCUUCCGCAAUGGGCGAAAGCCUGACGGAGCAACGCCGAGUGAGUGAUGAAGGUCUUCGGAUUGUAAAACUCUGUUAUUAGGGAAGAACAUAUGUGUAAGUAACUGUGCACAUCGUGACGGUACCUAAUCAGAAAGCCACGGCUAACUACGUG
rnacentral:rRNA from 1 species